GGGGCAUUAGCUCAGUUGGCUAGAGCGCCUGCAUGGCAUGCAGGAGGUCAUCGGUUCGACCCCGAUAUGCUCCACCA
rnacentral:tRNA from 1 species